rnacentral:tRNA from 1 species
AUUUAUUUAGUUUAAAAACAUUACCUUGUAAGAGUAAAGAUUAGGAUAUUUCUUAAAUAAAUA